GGGCUAUAGUUGAGUGGCAGAGCACUUGCUUGGCAUGCAGAAGGCCCUGGGUUCGAUUCCCGACGGCAUCC